CCUGCGUUCAUACAAGUCGCAUCAGUCCCGCCUGGUCCGAGUCACCCCGAGAAUUAAAACACCCAGGAAAUAGCAACAAUUCUCUCAAUACCAUCAUCUGUAUUUUCAGUCCGUGAUGACAUUAAAUGACCUAGACUUAGCCAUGUGUCCAAUGUUGCCUUAGCCACCAGGGUCAAAGGUCACACCCCUUCCUUGGAGGAAGUGCACAGAAAGUAAUGGAUCCUAACUAGAAGGGAGUGCAAGUAAUGACCUGAAAACUGAACUCAUCUUCUUAUUGUUGUUUUCUCAAAUGAUUUAAGGAUAGAGGUGUCGAAAUUGUUUUUGUUCAGGGGCCACAUUCAUCCCAGUUUGAUCUCAAGUGGGCCGGACCAGUGCAUUUGCGGCCCAAGAAACUAUAACUACCGGGUAAAUCCACGUUUCCCCAUUUUUGGGUGCAAACGAUUCCAAAAUAUUCACAUUUAUGAAUUAUCUUGAUGAAAACCCUGUUUCAAAUAAAAAGAGUGCAAUUUCAACACUAUUAGGAAUCACGUGCAACUCAAUUUAAGAGUCACGGUGGCCAAACCUUCUAUAGAGCAACUAAUGAUAACGAAAUAAUUUGAAAUUGACAUAAUUUCCAUAUCCAUCGGUAAAUCUUGACAAUCUUAACUAAACUCAUCACACCACACAAACUAUGGCGGUAACUAUUGAGAAAGAGGUUAUUCGGCUAUUUAUAUAAAAUAUAUGUACAAAAAUACAAUUGUGGCAGUCCCUGAAAAAAAAUGGUGGAUGAAAACCAAUCUUAUUUGAACUGAAGCAUGUUUACUUGGCUCCUGAAAAUUGGCGUUUUAGAAUCUUCACAAGGGCUUCAACAUCAGGCUUGCAAUACUGAGUUGCAGACGAUUUGAGAAUGUUAUCUAAGUAGUCAUCAGAGCACCCUCCAGUGGAAAAAAUCAGCAACGACAGUUAAUUUUGUAGAAAAUUUGAAAAUUGUUCUGUCCCCAUGGCUCAGAUUGGACCCUCUGGUCAGCUGAUUCUGGCUCACGGGCAGCAUGUUUGACAUCUUUGAUUUAUGGAGUUCAUUUAGGUUGUCAUUACAUACCCAUAUCAAAAUUCCCUGGACUGCUUUUGGAAUGAUUUUGCAAAUGACAAUAACAAAAACUGAGAAGUCACCUUUGAUGUGAAAAUAAUGUUGGUUAAUUAUGAUAAUGAAGAUACAAUUUCCACAAUAGCUGUCUUAAAAUUACCAUUUAAACUAUAUGUCAGCCAGUCACAUUUUUCUUUCUCUGCGUGUAGAAGUCCAACAGUUGUAAAGGGACUGUGUAAAAGAGGCAACCCACUGAUUCCUGCCGAGUACUUUCCACUGAUAGUACUGACUCUAGAUUUGUUCAAAUGUGUACCUGAGAUGCAUACGCUCUAUCCAGCAGAGGCAGGUACUGGAAUAUGUGGAGAAGGAUCUCCUGCGGCAGGCAUUCCCAGUGGACCGCUUCUUCGUCAAGUUCCGUGUCCCUCCUCUGUUUACGAGACCGCUUGAGAGACCCGCUACUGGUGCCGCCCCCAUCCUCCUGUUUAGUUCCCUGGAGUCCUCGUUUCAUCCUGGAGGUUACAAAUGGUCGACUGUUAAGGGGGGGGGGGCAUGGCAAUCACGUAAUUAUGUAAAUAUGCUUGAUCAGAUAACAGAUGUUAUUACACUCAACUGAUGGAAUUUA